GCCUUGGACACAAGCCAUUUGGUCACGGGUUGGCAUAACAAAAGAUCUCAACCCUAGACUGGUUUGAGCGCCAAGACAAAUGCACAAUCUCAGUUGUCAAAAGAAGCUAGUUUGAAAUACCAAAGAACUUACUAAAAUAUAAUAAUAAGAGCUUCUGAAACUUUAGAUAACUUGAGGACUCAGAGAACAGGAUAGCAAGCGAAGCUGCUAUCCUCUGUGUAAAACAGAUGAUAUGCAGAUGCAUGAGAUACCUGAGACCAUGAGAGAUGUUCAUUGACUUCGAGCUUGUUUCUUGACAGUAGAGACAGCUCUUCAGGUGUUUUGUUGGGAUAAAAGGACUGCCAACUAUCCUUAUACCUUCAACAAGCUUGAACGAAGUUAUACUACAAGCAUACUGAUCCUAUAUAUAUUCCCAGGUACAUCAGUAUGCAUGUUUCAUAAUUAAGUCGUAGCAUGUAUAUCUAGCUACCAAAUGCAUGCAGUUGCAACUCUGUAACACAAGCUCUUCUAACUCACCAGCCAAAAGCUAGCCGUAUAACAGAAAUUAAACAAUGAGGUCGACCAAUUAAUCACUUGUUGCAAUACCAUUACAAUUUCAUGGCAAGCCUUUAACCGCAUUCGAUCUGCGUAUUGCAUGUAUAGAACAUGUUUGCAAUUAAGCGAUGCAUGAAUUGUUCAGUGUCCGCAAGUUUAUAGAAACAAGCAGGAAGUGGCGCUCCAUUUUAUUGAAUGUUGUACGUAGUCCAUCCAGAACUGAAACGUACAUUUGUUAUUUUCUGUGAUCGAUGACAACCUUUACAGGAAUAGGCCAGCAUGCAUGCAGAAACUGUUUACCUGAAAAUUUUGCAACACGAACCCUUCAGCUAUAAGCUAAUUCAAGUCACACGUCUCACACACUUCUUUCCAGCGGCCACCAUGAACACAUAUGUAUGCAACUCCUUAUAACGUACGUAGCCUCUGCAUUUCAGCCGAUUGAAGUCCCUAAUUAAACCUUUUUUUUUUUUUAAAGGAGAAAUUUCAUUGAUCAACGAUUAAAACGACCACAAAAUCAAAUAAGAAUAGUCUGAAGACCAUACAUAUAUGCCUAUAACAACGAAAAAUAAAACUAUAUCUAUGCAACUCCUUAUAACGUACACCCUAAUUAAACCUUUUUUUUUUUUUGUAAGGUAGGAAAAUUUCAUUGAUCAACGAUUAAAACGACCACAAGGUCAAAUAAGAACAGUUUGAAGAUCAUACAUGCCUAUAGCAACGAAAAAUAAAACUACAUUUACGAAAAUAAAUAACAACCUCAAAACUACAUAAAAAAAAUUGGAUAAACUAGAAAGCAAAAUAACCUCCCGAUCCCUAAAAACAACUCAGCUUCCAAUCGAAUAAGGCCUAAGAACCAAUGAUAUACUUGUCAUCAAAUUGAGAGAAAGAGAGUAGCACUACCAGGACAAGCACUUUAGCCGACGAAAAAUUUUCGUCGGCCUGUUAGCUUAAUUCGUCGGCUAAGAUUUCGUCGGGAAAAAGUCGUCUGUGAUGACUUUAGCCGACGAAAUUUUUUUUUUCGUCAGCUAAAGUCCCGCGUUUAGCUGACAAAAAACACGUCGUCGGUUUUUUUUCCAGACUUUAGCCGACGAAACAAUUAAGAUAUUCGUCGGCUAAAGUCUGUAAUAAAAAAUUUUUCCUCAGACUAUAGCCGACGAAAUAUAGUCUGUUUCGUCGACUAAACCUUGUAAAAAAUUUUAAAAAAUUACUAUAGCCGACGAAAUAUAGUCUGUUUCGUCGGCUAAACCUUAUAAAAAAUUUUUAAAAUAACUAUAGCCGACGAAAUAUGCCAUAAUUCGUCGGCUAAACCUUAUAAAAAAAUUUAAAAAUACUAUAGCCGACGAAUAAACCUUUAAAUAUCGUUGGCUAAACCUUUAAAUAUCGUCGGCUAAAGUUGCUGGUUUUUGAAAAAAAAAAACUGCAGAAACUUUCGGCCACCUCCAAUCACCACCAAAAUUUGACAGAAUCUUCCUCUCAAUAUUUCGAACAACUUUCUAGAAGAAGUCGAAGCCCAAUUCUAAGCCUAAACAGGUCAAUUGAAUCAAAAUAUAAAAAUCCCUAAUUUUAAACCCUAAAAACUACAAAUCUUCGAUUCUCCUCACACACACCGAAUCGAGCUACCAAAUUCUAGGGGAAUGUAGUACUAAUCAAACUCAACUUAUCCAUAUAUAGAACUCACCAAAUGGUGACAUGAGGAAGGAGAAAUUCGAUCGACACCGAAUCCGAACCGGCGGAGUUUUGGAGCUCGAUUUAUCUCUCACGGCGGCGCCACUCGAUGCACCACUUAUCCAGCAAUGAAGUAGAGACGACGGCGAAGCUUUUGGGACAAGUGUGGCGGUCUACGGUGACUUGACGGCGGAGCUAGGCCGAGAAGAAAAUCUGGCAGGCGAAAUAGACUUCUUACCAUCCACCUUCGGUAAAACUCCUAUAUAAAGAACUUUAGCCGACGAAAUUCUUUAUUUUCGUCGGCUAAACUCUUUUGAAAAUUUUGGUUGACCGCCAAAAAAUUUUGGUUGAAAAUUUUUACCGCCCAAAAAUUUUUGACCUUAGCCGACAACUUUUCAAAUAUUUUCGUCGGUUAAAGUCCUUUGAAAAUUUUUACCGCCCAAAAAUUUUUGACCUUGGCCGACGACUUUUUUAAUAUCUCGUCGGCUAAAGUCUAUAAAUUCACGAAAACGCUCAUAUCUCCCUCUAUAUUACGUAGUUUGGUCAAACCUUCCACACGAAAAACUUUCACAUAGAUGAGACGCAACCGCCUAUAUAAAAAUUUUGAGACAUUUGCCUUCCGACGAUAGGGCUCCCCAUAGGGAAUAAUAACGGUAAAUAGGGUUGACCGCUACUAUCGGCACCGAGACUUUACCCGAUUUACGUGAUUUUUGAACUACAGUCGUAUUUCACCAUUCUGAACACAUCUUAUUUCACGAUAUUUUUGAUAAUUUUGCUUCCUAUAUAGAGUUGGUUCACAAAGUUGUAUAACCUACUAAACAAGUUAUACAACAUUAGUAGACACGUUGUGAUUCCGAUGACUAAAAUUCACAAACCAAAAUUCGACUGUCAGAUAUGAUCAUUAUGAUGAAAGAUGUCUAUGGUAAAAAAUUCAACUGGAUCCGACAACGUUAAGGACUCGAUCGAAACAGGUAACCCUAAUCCAUAGUCACUUAUCACACGAAAACGCUCAUAUCUCCCUCUAUAUUACGUGGUUUGGUCAAACCUUCCACACAAAAAACUCUCACGUAGAUGAGACGCAACUGCCCAUAUAAAAAUUUUGAGACAUUUAACUUCCGACGAUAAGGCUCCUCAUAGGGAAUAAUAACGGUAAAUAGCAGACACGUUGUGAUUCCGAUGACUAAAAUUUACAAACCAAAAUUUGACCGUCCGAUAUGAUCAUUAUGACGAAAGAUGUCUAUGGUAAAAAAUUCAACUGGAUUCGACAACGUUAAGGGCUCGAUCGAAACGGUCAACUCUAAUCGGAAAUAAGAAAACUGCAUUUUGAAGCCCUAAACGGACUCGGAUGGCCAAAAAUGCCCACACAUCAUGGCAUUAGCCAUGAGUCUAACUCGUAGGGCCGUUACGCUUCCGGAAAGGUAUCACAAUAGUCAAUCGGACACCAAAAACCAAAUCUGCAGCAUAGUGAAUAAUAAGGGUAAAUUGCAUUGACCGCAACUAUUGGCACCGAGACUUUACCAGAAUACCUUGAUUUUUCAAUUGUGGACGUAUUUCACCAUUCUGGUCAUAUCUUAUUUCACGACUUUUUUACGUUUGAAGGUUCUACGUAUAGUUUUUUUUUCCCAGAUGAGUUGUUGUCCAUAUCUGUAAAUAUAAGGCACUUUAGCCGACGAAAUUAAGGCACUUUAGCCUACGAAAUUAUAUUUUUCGUCGGCUAAACUUUUAAAAAUUUCGUCGGCUAAAGUUCACAGACUAUAGCCGACGAAAAAAAUUAUUCAGACGACGAAAUUUUAAUUUCGUCGGCUAAAGUUGACUAUAGCCGAUGAAAAUUUUUAAUUAGCCGACGAAGGGAAAUUUUGUCGGCUAAAGUCCACUUUAGCCGACGAAAAAAUAAUUCGUCGGCCUGAUUUUUUUAUUUUCGUCAGCUAAAGUCUUUCUUCUGGUAGUGUAGCUAUAAUGGAAAAUUAUGUUUUUUCUUAAUACGAAAAGACGAUGGAAAAUUCUUGUUUACAUUAACAAAAUUAGUCACAAGAAGUUCUGCCAUAAGUCUCUCUUAAAGGCAAUGGUUUCGUCCCACUUUGCCCAAAUAGCUAGUUGUGCAGAUUCAUAAUGUAGCAAUAAUAUCUGUUAAAACAAAUAAUGAACAUCAAAUCAUCAAUAGAUGAUAAUUAAUAUAUGAUUAUCCACGUACUGACGUACAUAUCUUUUGUGGCAGAGAAUUUGAUUUUUAGAAUAUUAGUAUGUAUGCUUUGCUUGAGAUCGCGUUCAUGUAUAUAUGCUCAGUUUUACGAUGUGAUUUUGUAGUGUCCAGCACGUAAGCGCGCCUUUGAUUGAAACAAAUUCCCCAUGAGAGAUAUUCAUCUUUAUUAAUAGACAAAAUUGAUCAUAAAGCCAACGGAGCAGCUGCACUUGCCGGUCGUUUUUCUUUGUUAACAACUUAAAUUAUUAGCAUGAUCCGCCAAUUAUAUAUAAGUCGCGAUCGUAUUAUUGAACACCAGCAAACCAAAUGCUAUCUUCAAGCUUCAAUUAUAUAAAUUCAUAUGGUUGUUGUACGUGUGACAUAUAUGGUAUAUAUUGUGUAUUAGUCAAUUGCAUGGAUUAAUUAAACUAACGGUUCUUAAUAAACCCCUAAUUAUUUAAGUGGUGCAGAUCGAAAUGGAGGACCAAAUGAUCGAUGAGGCUCUUAUAGAGAUAUAGACACACACAUAUUUUUAUCAUCGUUUAAUUUCUUAGCCGACAUUAUUCACUGAUAUUUAGCUUUGCUCUAUAUAUGGAGAGAGCCAUUAGUACUAGUGGACUAGUGGUGUCAUAGUUCUUGCCACUUUUAGUGACUUAGUGUGGUGGUGAUUAGAUAAAUAUCUUGCGCAUGUGACAUUUUUUUCUUUUUUAGAAACAGAAGGAUAGAAAGUUGUUAACAGCUCCAGUUGGAGAAUUAGUCUUUCAUCAAAAAUAUCUUGAAACUUGAAACUAGUACAUAAUCUUAAUAGGUAAAGAAAAUUAUGCGCUACAUAACUGCAUGUUAUACACACUCUACAUAUAUCAAUAAAGUAGAACGGUUGAAAUUAAUCUGCAUGCCAAAUCCUAAGUAUAAAAGAGGCUCUCUUAUAUUUUUACUAAAUGACCUUCCAUCUAAUCCUAUUUAUAAAAGCAUCACUAAUAAGGUUUGAUGUCCUUAUCAAAUCUUAGCAUGAUAUGCUUUGGCAAGUGGGUUCACUAUCCAUUAUACAGAAUCUUUAAACUUUAAAGUUAUCCAACGGCAUUAUCUUUCAGAUAUUUUCUUAGGCUUUUUAGCCAAUUUGUUACCAUAACUUUUACUAUGAUGUCAGUUUGCUACCCUAACAUUUUUUCCUGCCAUUUUCUUACCCUAACUUUCGUAAAUUAGCCAAAUUGCUACCCCACCGUCAAAUUGUCCAAUUUCUGGUAUGUUUUCCGUCCAGUGAGGGGCAUUUUCGUCAUUUAAUUAAAUAAAUUGAUAUAUCUAUAUUUUUAAGUUAUGGAUGAGACCCUAACCAAAAAAAAAACAACUUAUACAUGGGACGAGAGAAAAAAAAACUGAUAUCAUUCAAUUCAAUCCAUGAUCAUACUCAAAUCAAACAAAAAUAUCACAUGGGUUUAUCUCACAUGCAUGUUUGAGAAUAAGAUCAAUAAACCUACACAAAAUAGUCUCUACAUAAGAGGCCUAUAAUUAUAUGUUUUUAUCCCAAAUUGGAUAUCACAAAAAUGGUCGCCCUAUCACUAGAUUCUGAAGUUUCAUGAACUUUACGGCCUCCAUGGCCUUGAUGGUGUACCUACUGAAGAGUGUGUAGUUCUACCUCCUCGUGCACUUCCUCUGUCAGCUCCACCUCCUGGCGCACCUCCUCUGCCAGUUCCACCUCUUCGCGCACCUCCUUUGCCAGCUCCUCUACCAGCUCUACCUCCAUACAUACCCUGCCCACAAAUGUACAUUUUUUUUUUACAAAGAUCAAAUAAACGUUUCUAAACAUGCAUUAUUAUAGAAAGAAAUUUGGUUGGCUUCAGUCGGUGUACUCACUUGAGUUUGUGCUCUUGAGGUCACAUUAGCUUGAAUUGGUGUGUUGGCUGGUGUUGACGUGCUCGCUUGAGUUGGUGUCUGUGAGGAGAGAUUACCUUGAACUUGUUCAACCAAAUUCUAAACAUGCAUGAAAUUAGCAUAUAAUUAUAAAGCCAUAUGAGAAACUUUUAAACCCCACAAAAAAAGUACACAAUAAUUAAAUGUGUUCAUAUAUAACUAUACUUAUAAACAUAGAUAUAUAAUAUAGUGCAAAUGACUAACCUGAGGACAUGUUGCUCUAUUGUGGCCUUCACCCCCACAUCUCCGGCAAAUGAUAAUAACAUUGUAUUUUGGCAACUUGGUUGCACCCUUGCGGAUCUCACUUGCCUCUCUAAUCCUGCUUUUCUUUGGUCUUCCAGGUUGUUUGUGAUAUUUUGGAGGUCUAAUGGCUCGCUGUCUAGUUUUAGGCCAUAGAUCUUAACUAGACAUGGGGCAUAUAUAGUGAGCAUACGCUCUAUCAUAUGCUGCUCUCUUGUAAAGGCUGUGAACAUAAUCCAAUGGAUUCCUCUGCAUCCAACAUAUUGAUGCCAUUGCAUGUGAACAAGGAAUGCCACAAAGAUCCCAUUUCCGACAUGAGCAAGUGUGCCUCUCCAAGUCUACAUAAAACUUCCUUCCAUAAAGAUGAGUGACUUCAUAAUGUCCUUUAAUUGAAAUUUCAACGAUGCAUGAGUCACUAUCCUUCUUGUUUUUUUCAACAAUAUCAAAUAUUCUUGGGCCUACUUCCUGUGUCCACCUUUUCUCUCUUUGUUUUGCCAUCCUCAACAUCAAAUAAAUCCUUAACCUCUCAAGCAUGGUCAAUAUUGACUGAUCCCUUGUAGGUAUGAUUGCAGAAUUAAAUGCUUCAUAAAUUAUUAAGAAGAAUAUCACAUUUUGGCUGAGUUGUAAAAUAUGAUCUACUCCAAUGAUUUGGUGUCCUGCCAGGUUUCUAGAACCAAUCCCAUGCGUCUUUUGAUUGCUUCAACAAAAGAUCCAUUUGUUCUUCAAACCAGGGAAUAGUUGUUGCCUUUGCAGCUCCCCACACUGUUUGCUUUAAUGCAAGCCCACCAUGACCAUCAUUUUUGAAAUUGUUAUAAAAGUGCCUAACACAAUGUCUGUGCUCAACAUUUGGCACCAAAUCUUUAAUUGCUACCUCUAAGCCCUUCUGUUUAUCACUUAUGAACACCCAACCAGCUCCACCAUCUUGGAUCCCCAUAUCAGCAAUGAAAAUUUCAAGAAACUAGGUCCAACUAUCUCGGUUCUCUAUUUCAGCAACAGCAAAUGCUAUUGGAAACAUGCCAUUGUUAGCAUCAAUACCAACAGCACUCAAAAGCUGUCCUUUGUGCGGACCUUUAAUGUGACACCCAUCAAGACCAACAACAGUUCUACACCCUUCAAGGAAACCUGUCUUUAAUGCUCCAUAACACACAUACAUCCUUAGAAAAACAGGUUCGUCAUUCCUCAACUCAGUUUUGAACUUCAUAGUAGUUCCAGGAUUAACUCUCAUUAAUUCUUCUCCAUAUUCUCGAAGCAGCCCAUAUUGCUCUUCAAUGCUUCCUUGAAUACUCUUUCCAGCCUUUUGUCUUGCUUUGUAGACUUGAUCUUUGGUCACUAUAAUGCCAUACUUGUCCUUCACUAUAGUAAUAAAAUCACCAACCUUCAUCUUAGGGUUCAAUCUAAUCUCCUGAUCAAACCUAGAAGCUAACCAAGUAGAAGAGGCAAACCAAUUGCUGGUGAUUCUUCCACACGAAUGUUCUGGUACAAAUUCUUUUACCCUCACAGUAGGACCUUUUUUCCCCACAAAACCUGCACACAAUACGAAUGGGCAUUUUGCUGCAGCAACACUUUACAUUCUCCUUCACCCUAUGUGGGAAGUUUUUUGCAAAUGUUAAGGCCUUCCCAAUGCAUAUUGCAUACUCUCUUAUAGCCUCUCUACAUUCCUUCAUACUAGGAAACUCUAAUCCCAAUGUAAUUUGGGGACGCCUCAAAUCAAUUUCCCUCCUAUAUGUUUUGAACUUCGGAGUGUUUCUUUUGAGCCUUCUCACUUGAGUUUCAUCAUCAGACGAGGAGCUAUCAACACUUCCUAGGUCAUCACUACCUUCGUAAUCAGAUGAAUCUUCUCCAAAUUCUACAUGAUGAUCAUAUGGUCUUUCAUCUACGACAAUCUUCUCAAAUUGCUUCAAAUCUUCUUCUACAUUGUGUACAUAAUGCUCAUCAAUCCAAAAAUCUCUAUCAUCAGGGUCCUCCUCUAUCUCAUUAUUGUCUUCAUUUUCAUACGAUUCGUCAUUAGUGUAUUUAGUAUAAUCAACAUCAUAAAUACCAGACUCUUCCAAAACACCACCAGACACAUCAUGAAGAGCUGUAAGGUAAAAAGAAAAAAGAAAAAAAGAAAAAAAUCAUUGAAAUCUAGUAUUAACCUAUAUCACUUUCAUGAAAUCUAGUUCGAACAACACAGCAAUAUGGGACCACCACAAAUCUAAACAAGAGAAUACACAAACUUACAUAUAAACCCUAAUUUGAAAUUCCCCCAAUUGGGAGAAAUAUAUAGACUUACAAAUUGAAAAUUUGAGCACUUACAGAGUGUAGGAAAGUUUCCGUUGUCCCCCAUAUUGAUAGAAAACGAAAUCCUGCGACUACGUCGUCAAAGCUACCAUUCCUUGUUUCCCCAAAUUGAACCCAGACUACCAAUUUGUUUCAUCUUUUGUUUCAGCUGUUUGAUUCUCUCAUCUGUAUCAAAGUGAUAAAGAAUACGAUUUAAAAAUAGAGACUGAAUCAAAGAAGAUGAAGAAUACGAUUCAAAAACUAACAACUCUAUCAAAGGUGGAGAGGAUUUGCAACUCCUAUUGAUUAUAUUGCUAAAAUCAAAACUCAAACAAAAUUCAAUUAGAAGAGAAUGGAUUUAGAAAUCUAAACACAAACACAUAACCCAAUAUCAGAAACCCAAAACACUUCCUUCUCUUGCCUUUGACGAACCCAACAUAAGAAUCCUAAAAACCCUAAAUCAGUCUACAUCAUUCAAUCCCAGAACGUAGAAUCGAAAAACGAAAAAAAGAGGAUUUCCGGAAGCAACAUAACUCACCGGCCCGAUCUUUCAGAUGAUAAAGAGACUUGGCGAAGAUUGAAGAAAGCUGAGGCGAAAUCCUAGACAGAGAGCUGCGACAGAGAAUGGAGACAUGAAAGAAGUGAAACAAAAGAACAGAACGAUAAAAGAAGGUUAGCCAUGAGAAAUUAAAGGAAGUCUAAUUAAAUGACAAAAAUGCCCCUCACGUGAUAAGCACAUGUAACCUCUGGACGGAAAACAUAACAGAAAUUGGACGAUUUGACGGUUGGGUAGCAAUUCGGCUAAUUUACGAAAAUUAGGGUAGCAAAUUGACACCAUAAUGAAUGUUAGGGUAGCAAAUUGGCUAAAAAGCCAUUUUCUUAUGAGUUUCGUGACACAAUGUUCUUUAACGUACUCAAUACAUUUGUGGAAAAUGUAGCAAAUCAUAGAUUUGAGUAUAGAAAAAAUGCCUCCAAUUUGAUAAAAACAAUGCUUAUAUUGAAUAAACUACAAUAUUAUUUGGAUGAUGUUAUUCACACACCCUAUCUAUUUUUCUAUUAGUAUAGUUCACUUUUAUUUACAAACUACCCAUUAGAAUAUGCUUCAUAAUUGGUUUUAUCAUAGAUAUAUAGGGUAUGUAAAUAACAAGGUAGGGUGUGUGAAUCAAAUAAUAAUACCAGUACAUAUAAUAUUUAGUUUACUUACUUUUUUUUUAUUUUUUAUAGAAUUUCUCUAAUUUUGUUACUUCAUAAUUUGGUAAUUGAGAUCGUCGAGUUCUUAUUGCAAUUUAUAUAUCCAACAACAGAAAACUAAAAAAAUGGAUACAAGUACACGUGAUCGAGCUAACUUUUGGAGCAAUUAAAGGAUAAUCUAUCUUCAAUUUUAGUUACGAGAAUGUGGCAUAUAUAUAAAACUUAAGGAACGAACUUUGUGUGCACUCGAAGCAGAAACCUUUAUGCUUACUAGGGAAUGUGCCAAGUUCACUCCUAGCUGUAAAGCGCCAUCCGCUUCUCGCUUCUCUUUCUCUACUACCUGCCUUGCACCUUAGGCUACUACGUACGUACGUACACUUCAAUCUAGUCUCGAUCUCUAUCUAUAUCUAUAUAUACCCCCAAAUAUAGAUAUACUCACCAAAUAUAUUUUAGGCCUCAUGCUCUCGUAUAUAAAUUAUAAGGUAAGGUUAUGAAAGAAAACCUCCUCUCAUGAAUUUGCGUUCAUCUAAAAGCAGUAUUGAUUCACUAGCUAAUAAAAGUUUAUAAACUAGUUACAGCUGUAAAACGUACAAAGUUUCAAGAUACAUGCAAGUUCUACUACAGAUGAGUUAAUACCGCUCAUAUUUUGAUUUGGUGGAUUAUGCUUGUAUUGUGUCUGACUAGCAGAUGGUAAACCUUUGGAUCUUAAUUUAUAUGUAAAUUGUUUUUUUAUCAAGAGAUACAUUGAACUAUCCUCUAAUAGCUAACUUCGAUUGCGAGUUUGUUAGAAUUAGAGGAAACCAUUCUAAUGAGGACCCUUAAGUUGAGGACUUGUUGAUGACUUUUCGGCUUAUCCCACAUUUCGAUCUUAUAUCCAUAUCUUCACUGUUCAAUUUAUAUGUAUUUAUGAGUAUAUCAUUUCUCUAAAUUUUCAGGUAUAUUGAAAAUUGUUAAGGCAUUCAUAAGUGUGAUUUAUUAAUUAUGAACUUGAACGGUUCAUAUUAGAUAGAUUUGGUUCGUCCAUUAAUUUAAUCUAGUUUGUUAUCUUAACGAACACCAAUUUGGUUGAAAAUUUGUAGAAAUGAUCUACUCAUAUAAACCUAAAAACUGAACGGAUGAGAUGUCAAAAAGUGAUCGAAAAAUGAGUUUUUUAAACCAUAAACCGAAAAGUCCUUAACUUAAGAGUCAUCACUAGAAGGGCUCCCUAAAAUUGGAAACAUGAGAACUCCUUUCUUGUGUUCCGUAAUUUUAUGUAAAAAUUAAUGGCCGUAUAUCACCUUGAAUUGAAAUGCGAUAAUUUCAAAGAAUGAUAUCAGUAACUCAAACUUACUACGCAUAUGCGUCUUCAGAUUCAGCUAUAAUUCCUAUUAGCUAGUGCAAGUAAGUGAAGUACCAUAUUGGAAACUAUUAAUAGAUUUAACAUAUUGGAAAUUCUCAUGCAUCAAAGAUCAAACCAACACAAGUACAUAAUCAAAUUCCAUAAGCAUGAUUAGAUGAAAUUUCAACACCUAAAACAACUCAUUUGCUUCGAAUAUUUACAUAGAGGUCGGUCCUCGCAACCAUUUUAGCACUACACGUGUGCUCAUUUCUAUGGCAUCGUGAUAAACACACAAAAAGCCACCAAUCUCCUUGUCGAAACAGGAUUGCAAAUUAGGAGGAUUAGUUUCCCACGUCUUUUCCUAACUCCUAUACUCCACAUAAUCAAAACAAAAUCCAGUUUAUCAUCUCAUAAUUAAUAAAGCAACUGAGUCCAUUAAUUACAAUAGCCCUCUCUCCACCCCCCUAUAUUUCUCUCCGAUUCCCGAUUUUCAUUCCCACCAGAAAUGAAGUCCACCCAAAAUAAGCCACCACAACAAACCCAAACCCUCUUCUUCUUCUUCUCCUUUCAAACCCUCUCCGCCAUGCGCCGCAGGCUCUCCGCUGCCCUCCUUAUCUCCCUCGCCGUCCUCUUCCUCUUCGCCUCCAUCUCUCUCCACCUCUCCCGCUCCUCCAUCUCCCGCUCCGACCUCGUCACCUGCUACCCCAUCCCCAGCCCCACCUCCGAUCUCAUCCGCGAGCUCCAGUCUCCUCCGUCCAUCCACGUCAACGUCGACCCCAUCUCCACCGUCGCCGUGCUUCUACCUGACUGGGAGAUCCUCGUUAUUGUCUCGCCUGAGACUCCGCUCUCCGCCGGCCACCACGGUUAUGUCUGCGUGUUCCAGAACAACUACACCUCCGAUGCUAAACUCGCCGGGAUUCUGCCGUCGAGGAACCGGACGGCGUUCUACUGCCUCAUGCCGCGGAGAGUCAAGCGCCUCCGGCCGUUUCUCCAGCCGGCCUUGUCCACGAGGUUGCAUCACAUCAACACCAACAAACAUGCACCGGAGCUUUUCCGGUGGACGUUUCUCGUCUACGAGUCCUUCUCCACCGUAGACGACGUCGUUCUCUUCGCCAAAGGCCUCAACAACCGCCCCGGCGUCAACCGCCCUCCGAGCGAGUUCCGGUGCGUGUUCGGCGAUAACGCCGUCAGAACCGCCGUCACGAGCUCUUCUCAAGAAGUCUUCCGCUGCCAGCACCCGGACCUGACGGCGUUAAACGACGCCGUCAACGCCACGACUAUCUCACUGGAAAUCGUCGAGAAGAAUCAGGUGGUCCCCUCCGUGGCUUAUUACACCUCCCCCAAACGACGUCGGAUUAUUAGCGGCAGCGAUCUUAUCGCGGGGCACACGCAACCGAGUCACGAGCUGUGCGCGUGCACGAUGGUGUACAACGUGGCGAAGGUCCUGAGGGAGUGGGUGACAUACCAUUCUCGGAUCGGAGUCGACCGGUUUUUUCUUUACGACAACGACAGCGACGACGACUUGGGACACGUGGUGCGGCAGCUAAACCGGGAAGGGUUCAACAUUACGACGACAUUUUGGAUAUGGCCUAAGACACAAGAAGCUGGGUUCUCCCACGCUGCCGUGUUCGGCAAGUCGUUGUGCAAAUGGAUGAUGUACAUUGACGUCGACGAGUUUGUUUUCGCCCCGAAUGCAUGGAGCCAGGCUCCGGCGCCGGAGAGGCACAUGCUCAAGUCUCUGAUACCGAAGGAGCCGGAUAUCGGGCAAGUUUCGAUCCUAUGCAACGAGUUUGGCCCCUCGAAUCAGAAAACGCACCCAUUGGAAGGUGUCACGCAGGGGUACACAUGCCGGAGGCGGUUGGGGCGGUUGCAGCAGCGGCACAAGUCGAUUGUGCUGCUCGAGGCGGUUGAGCACUCGCUGCUCAACAUGAUACACCAUUUUCAGAUAAAGAAGGAGUUUAGGUCAUGGCAACUCAGCAUGGAGGAAGCUAUAGUGAACCAUUAUAAGUACCAAGCUUGGCCCGAGUUUCAGACCAAGUUUCGUAGAAGGGUGUCGGCUUACGUGGUGGAUUGGACUGAGAAGGUUAAUCCGGCAUCCAAGGAUAGAGCUCCCGGGCUAGGGUUUAAGCCGGUGAAGCCGAAUGGGUGGGAGGACAUGUUUUGUGAGGUUAGGGAUGAGAGGUUAACGAUGUUGACGAAGAAAUGGUUUGGUUCUCCUAGUAGUAGUAAAAUGGUGUGGCAAAGUUGAAUUCUUUGUUGCCAUAGAACAGGUAAAUGGCGUAGAUUGAUAUAAAUUUUGAAAUGAGAGAAUACAAAGCGGGUAAAUACCAAUCUGGUAAAAACAUGAAGCCAAUUAAGCAUAAAUUAGAAGUUGAAAAAGGUAGAGAAUAGUGAAGCUAGCAUAGGAUUCGUUAAUGCAACUUCAAUUCUUGUUGAUCUCUUUAUGGGUGUAUAUAUAUUCAUUUUCUUUUCUUUUCUGGGGUUAGAAUCAAGGAGUUUUCAACUACGUGUAAUUAGGUGAUCAAGGAACGCUUCCCCUUUCUUUUAUGUUUGAUCUAAAACUUUAAAAAAAAAAAAAAAANAAAAAAAAAACUUACGGAAAACAACUUUAAGACUAAUAAUUGAUCUACUUACAAAACUAAUUAAGAUUUGAUUUUUAGUAACCAAAUAAGUGUGUUAUGUUCACCAUUGAAUUCUAUGACCAUUUAGAAGACAUUAUUUUUUUUUACAAAUAUAGCUAUUAAUGACACUUUGACAAUGACAUUUUUAUGUAAAUGUCAUCAAAAGUAUAUUUGAUGGCAUUUUUUUGUAAAACGUCAUUAAUUUUUAGUAACCAAAUAAUGUGUGUUAUGUUCACCAUUGAAUUCUAUGACCAUUUGGAAGACAUUAUUUAAUGGCGUUUCCAAACGCUGUCAAAUGUCACUACUAACCAUGACUUUUUUGAACGAAUUUUUUUUUUCAAUACGGCGCUCUUUUUUUUUUCCUGAUCUUGGCCCGCCUAGAGCCCAAAUUUUUUGACCGGGGUAAAUAUCAUCUUAACCUGAUUAUACAUCUUAACCUGUUCUAAGAAGCCUUCUCCUAGGAGUCUGGCUUUGUGUGCUAGAAAACUACAAAAUAACCGAAUUGUCAUCAAAGGUCAACCUGAAUGCGCUCUCACAUUCAGCUAUAAUGGAGGAUUCACCACUGUCACAUGUCCUUUUCACAUCAAAACAGGGAAGUUCCGAACCAAAUACAACUCUUGUACCAACUGGCUUCUCACUUUUACCCAUCACCCAUGAUUUUGAGCAAACACAAAGCAAAAACUUAAAAAGCAGCAGAAAAAAAGAACCAUGGUGGCUACUAUCCCAUUAUAAGCAAACUAACCCUUAACUAAACCAAGAACUAAAAUACAAGCAAUUCCAUAAAAACCCCAUAUAACAGGGAAACAAUAUACCUGCACUGAACAUCACUAGAGAUCGCACCCGCGGUUAGCUGCAGUAUUUCUUUUUGUGAACAAACUGAAAGAAUUCGGUACAUGCUCUACUUAUUGUAGUUUCCAUAUAUAUAUAUAUAUAUAUAUAUAUANNNN
rnacentral:lncRNA from 1 species